CCUACGGGAGGCAGCAGUGGGGAAUAUUGCGCAAUGGGCGAAAGCCUGACGCAGCGACGCCGCGUGAGGGAUGAAGGUCUUCGGAUCGUUAACCUCUGUCAGCAGGGAAGAACGGUCACUGUGCUAAUCAGCAGUGAAUUGACGGUACCUGCAAAGGAAGCACAGGCUAACUCCGUGACAGCAGCCGCGGUAAUACGGAGGGUGCGAGCGUUAAUCGGAUUUACUGGGCGUAAAGCGCUCGUAGGCGGUAUGUCAAGUCAAGGGUGAAAUCCCCGCGCUCAACGUGGGAACUGCCUUUGAAACUGGCAAACUGGAGUGUGUGAGAGGAUAGGGGAAUGCCAGGUGUAGGAGUGAAAUCCGUAGAUAUCUGGAGGAACAUCAGUGGCGAAGGCGACUAUCUGGCACAUAACUGACGCUGAGGAGCGAAAGCGUGGGUAGCAAACAGGAUUAGAUACCCUGGUAGUC
rnacentral:rRNA from 1 species